rnacentral:rRNA from 1 species
GACGAACGCUGGCGGCGUGCUUAACACAUGCAAGUCGAGCGGAAAGGCCCUUUCGGGGGUACUCGAGCGGCGAACGGGUGAGUAACACGUGAGUAAUCUGCCCUUGGCUUUGGGAUAACCACCGGAAACGGUGGCUAAUACCGGAUAUGACGGGCUCCGGCAUCGGGGUUCGUGGAAAGUUUUUUCGGCCAGGGAUGUGCUCGCGGCCUAUCAGCUUGUUGGUGGGUAAUGGCCUACCAAGGCUUCGACGGGUAGCCGGCCUGAGAGGGUGACCGGCCACACUGGGACUGAGACACGGCCCAGACUCCUACGGGAGCAGCAGUGGGGAAUAUUGGGACAAUGGGCGAAGCCUGAUCCAGCAACGCCGCGUGAGGGGAUGACGGCCUUCGGGUUGUAAACCGUC